UGUUCAUAUCAUUCCACACCACCCUCUUUUCGCUCUAAAAUCCACACUUCUUUCUCCCAUCACGCAAUCGCAAAGACUGGGCAGUGACAGAUCCUCAUCUUGGCGGCUCGGCUAUUCUUGCGCCGGGUGGACCCAGCAUGCUGACUGAGUCUUAACAAGCCAAGAUAUUGGCACUGAGGCCUACCAUGCUUACGAAGUGUGGGGCGAAUGUAUUCAACGGGAGCUAUAGCUACAGCACUUGUAGUUGUCCUGGUACUCAUACAAGUGCAGCUCGAAGUUUUGCGUCGAGUGGUUUCCCACGGAUCGUAUUCCUUUUUUCACUUUCAAUUUCCAGAAGGAGAUGGCGCCGGUACGAGUGUGACCAACGGCGGGUACAUCAGAUAAGAAUGGCAGCCACGCAUACAGUGCUCUGAUUGGCCCGAUUCACCCCGACAGGGUCUUCAUUUGUUUUAGAGCUUAGACUGUAAGAUAAAAUGACACCAUACUUGAAAGAGCUACAGAUAU
rnacentral:misc_RNA from 1 species